UUUUUUGCGAACACACUACCGCAAAGUCGGAAUCAACAGUAAAACUUUAGAUUCGUUGAGAUCUUAAAGUUCUUCCUUUGAGAUGUUCCUAUUAAUCCAUUAGUUACCGUCACUUUUCCGUUAUUACCAGUAUAAUGACAGAGACAAAAC
ensembl:ncRNA ZK381.60 ncRNA